GAAAUCAACAUUAAUGUAAAAAGUACAUAAAAACUUGGCACGUGUAUUUUAAACUUUUUUUUAUAUAUCUCCUUUUUUUGUUGUAGCCUCUAUAUGUCACUGACCCAUGUUCUUUUUUUAUCUGUAAGCUUCAGUGAAAAUUUGGAGAAAUGAGGACAAAAUAACAAAAUGAAUAGAAUAACAUGCUUGAAUGAAUAAAUAUGAAGAAAAGAUGGCCAUGGAUAACUCGUGUGAUGGAGUGAGUGGUGGAACUCAUAUCCGGACUUGUUGCGAUUGUGAAGUUUAUUUCCUUUCUCGCACAGGGAUGUUUUAAUAACAAGCUCGAUGAGAGCCCCGUUGCCUGGCAACCGGCUGCUGUCAACAUGCAGGCUGUGUUACCGUGGGAACAGGACGACUGGUGGGAAGAGUGGGACACAAAGCUGACUUCCACCAAACAGUGAUCAGCUGACAUCUGGGGUCAACAUCAUGGCUCUCUUAGAGAUCCGACAGAACAGCUCCCUGAAGUUUGAUAUGAUGGGAUCAGGCAGGGGUCUGCGGGAGCCUGAGUACGCUGAUGGAUGAGGGAUUGAAGGCUAGCCAGAUGAUAGAUCUGGACUGGAACAUGUCCGCCGAGUUACUGCCAGAACUGACAGCUCAACACAAUGGUGAUGUCUAUAAAGAUCUGGAUGUCUGAA